rnacentral:lncRNA from 1 species
AGAUGUGACAACUUUAAAAACUCAACUUCAACUUUGUAUCAAAUGGUUGAUUUUAACUUGUGUUUUAACAAUGAUAAUGGUAUUUGUUUGACAAUUAAGCUGUCACAUGGACUGAGUCUUUACAACGCAGAAAACAAGAAGUAUUCACGUUUUCAUAGGCUUGAUUUAAAUUCCCUGUUAAUGUAGAAUUCUUCUUCCUCUCAGUUUUUACAGAAUACAAGUUACUAAAUAGGAAAAUAUGACACAUUCAUCUACGAAAAGGUAUUAUUUUUGUGAUCCUUUCAUAGCUUUUUCCCAUAUCCUGCACACAGCAGUAAAUUAUCAUCAUCAUUUCUGUUGUCUGAUUUUAGACUUCUGCUUUUAUCUGAUUAAAUGAUAGCAGUGUUAUUCUGAUCUGACAGUGUGAAUAGUUUUGUGAUACUCUCACUGCUCACAAUGGAUUCUCACAUCAACAAGGGGUGUAAUGUCCCCAUUCUUUUAAUCUAUCUAUAUAUCUAUUUUUUGAAUACAGAAACUAAAAUGGCACUGCGAAAAGACUUUAACAGGCCUGACCUCCGUUAGUAUAGUUUUCAGUUCAUUUCAACCCAUUCUCACUCCAAAGGCGUCAAAAACCGAAGCAUGGUCAAGCGCCCCUAGCGUCACUUUUAUGACGCCAAAUGUGCCUCUCGGCGUCGACUAUCGAAGCACUACGACCUUCAUUGAUUUCAGUGGGAAACUUUUGGCGUCAGAAUUCGACACGAGGACAUGAGAUGUUUAUCGCUAUGAAAUCACGUUCAAGAAGUCUCAUUCAGCACACAUCGCGCGAUACUUGCUAUCAGUUCCACAGUUUGGCUGAAAAGACAUAAAGGCAGUCAGCCCAGUGGUGUUUCUGGAGAGGGAUUCCUUCAGAAAUGGAGAAGACAGAAAGCUGCGGAGGCAGAUAUUUGCAGCAGUAAGUCUGUGAUAGUUUGUCUCUUUUAUCAAAAAUUCCUGCUGUUAUAAUUUGUACAGCAUUUGUUGUUUCUUAAACUGUUGCACUGUCCAAAUACCCACACUUGCCAUCUUUUCACUUGAUCACUUGAUUACUUAUUUGAAGUC